rnacentral:rRNA from 1 species
GAUGAACGCUAGCGGCAGGCUUAAUACAUGCAAGUCGAGGGGCAUCAAGGUACACGAAAGUGUAUUGUUGGCGACCGGCGGACGGGUGAGUAAUAGGUAGGUAACCUACCUCAUACUGAGGCAUAGCUGGGAGAAAUUCCAGGUAAUUCCUCAUGAGGUUAUAUGACACAUGUGAUAUAAUCAAAGGUAUCGCAAGGUACUGGUAUGAGAUGGGCUUACUGACCAUUAGCUAGUUGGUGAGAUAAGAGCUCACCAAGGCGAAGAUGGUUAGGGGUUUUGAGAGAGAGAUCCCCCACAUUGGAACUGAGAUACGGUCCAGACUCCUACGGGAGGCAGCAGUAGGGAAUAUUGGGCAAUGGGCGGAAGCCUGACCCAGCCAUGCCGCGUGAAGGAAGACGGCCUUAUGGGUUGUAAAACUUCUUUACUAUGCGACUAACUAGAUUUACGUAGAUAAUUCUAUAGAAUGUAGCAUAGCAAAAAGACACCGGACCG